rfam:Oryza glaberrima chromosome 8 Oglab08_0013_18, whole genome shotgun sequence.
UAUAAGUGUAGUUUUGCACUGUUCAUUUCCAACAUUUGACCGUUCAUCUUAUUUAAUUUUUUUUAUGAUUAGUAUUUUUAUUGUUAUUAGAUGACAAAACAUUAAUAGGACUUUAUGUGUGACUAAUUUUUUUAAAAUUUUUAAAUAAGACAGACGGUCUAACGUCGGACACGGAUACCCACGACUGCACUUAUU